GACGAACGCUGGCGGCGUGCUUAACACAUGCAAGUCGAACGGAAAGGCCUCUUUCGGGGGGUACUCGAGUGGCGAACGGGUGAGUAACACGUGAGUAACCUGCCCUUGACUUUGGGAUAACUUCAGGAAACUGGGGCUAAUACCGGAUAGGAGCUCCUGCUGCAUGGUGGGGGUUGGAAAGUUUCGGCGGUUGGGGAUGGACUCGCGGCUUAUCAGCUUGUUGGUGGGGUAGUGGCUUACCAAGGCUUUGACGGGUAGCCGGCCUGAGAGGGUGACCGGCCACAUUGGGACUGGGAUACGGCCCAGACUCCUACGGGAGGCAGCAGUGGGGAAUAUUGCACAAUGGGUGGAAGCCUGAUGCAGCAGCGCCGUGUGCGGGAUGACGGCCUUCGGGUUGUAAACCGCUUUCGCUCAUGACGAAGCUUUGUGUGACGGUAGUGGGUAAAGAAGCACCGGCUAACUACGUG
rnacentral:rRNA from 1 species